AUAACUAUUUCAAAGAUGAAAAUAUUAUUUAAAAAUCUGUUCUUUUCAGCUUAAUAUCUGAAACCCGACUCACCGAGUCGAUUGUAUAUUAAACUGAUUUUUGAAUCUAGGCUAAUGGAAUAGGGGCUUGCUCCAUCCUAGCCACGGUUUGGCCUGGCAAUGCAGUAACUCCGGGACCGGCCCACCCCUC
rnacentral:snRNA from 1 species